CUACCCCUACGGGGGGCAGCAGUGGGGAAUAUUGCACAAUGGGGGAAACCCUGAUGCAGCGACGCCGCGUGAGUGAAGAAGUAUUUCGGUAUGUAAAGCUCUAUCAGCAGGGAAGAAAAAAGACGUUACCUGACUAAGAAGCCCCGGCUAACUACGUGCCAGCAGCCGCGGUAAUCCGUAGGGGGCAAGCGUUAUCCGGAUUUACUGGGUGUAAAGGGAGCGUAGACGGCAAUACAAGUCGGAAGUGAAAUACCCGGGCUUAACCUGGGAACUGCUUUGGAAACUGUAUGGCUGGAGUGCUGGGG
rnacentral:rRNA from 1 species